rnacentral:sRNA from 1 species
UAAGAGACUUGCAGCAGAUAACUCCAU